AUGAGGUAGCCAACACUGUUUAUGUAUAUCUAUUUUUUAUUUUAAUUGGGGUAGCCCCCAAAAUAUUGGGACAUACAAAAAAAGAAACAUUUGUGGCCUGCGGUGCAUUUCUUGCAGUCUUGAUGCAUGGAGAAAUGCUCAACUCCUGAUUCAUGGAGAAAAGGCCUUCACAAGCCUCUGCCUCUGGUGACCAUGUAGGUGGAAGCGGCGGUGGAGGAGGAGGAGGUAGCCAACAAUUUUUAUUUUAAUUGGGGUAGCACUUUUUCAAUGUGCUCCCCAACGAGAAGGCGACAACACAUUCGUAUUUCAAUCCAUAUCAACUUUCAAUGCCAUUGACUGCGCCUACCACGGUGACCAUGGGUAACCAGGGUUCCAUUCCAUACAGGGACCCUGACAAACGGCUACCACAUGCAAGGAAGGCAUCAGGCACGCAAAUGACCCACUCACGACGCGGGAAGGUAGUGA